GACGAACCGUGCGAGCGUUGUUCGGAAUUACUGGGCGUAAAGCGCACGUAGGCGGCUUUGUUAGUCAGGGGUGAAAUCCCGGGGCUCAACCUCGGAACUGCCUUUGAUACUGCAAGUCUCGAGUCCGAUAGAGGUGGGUGGAAUUCCUAGUGUAGAGGUGAAAUUCGUAGAUAUUAGGAAGAACACCGGUGGCGAAGGCGGCCCACUGGAUCGGUACUGACGCUGAGGUGCGAAAGCGUGGGGAGCAAACAGG
rnacentral:rRNA from 1 species